rnacentral:rRNA from 1 species
CAUCCUACGGGACGCAGCAGUGAGGAAUAUUGGUCAAUGGGCGAUAGCCUGAACCAGCCAAGUCGCGUGAGGGAAGACGGCCCUAUGGGUUGUAAACCUCUUUUGUCGGGGAGCAAGGUCGCUACGUGUAGCGAUUUGAGAGUACUCGAAGAAAAAGCAUCGGCUAACUCCGUGCCAGCAGCCGCGGUAAUACGGAGGGUGCGAGCGUUAAUCGGAAUUACUGGGCGUAAAGCGCUCGUAGGCGGUAUGUCAAGUCAAGGGUGAAAUCCCCGCGCUCAACGUGGGAACUGCCUUUGAAACUGGCA